GGGCCGGUAGCUCAGUGGUAGAGCGGAGGACUGCAGCAUAUUCAAGCUUCCUUCCUUAGGUCACCGGUUCGACUCCGGUUCUGCCCU